rnacentral:rRNA from 1 species
ACAGAGGUCCCAAGCGUUGUUCGGAUUCACUGGGCGUAAAGGGUGCGUAGGCGGUUGGAUAAGUCUGAUGUGAAAUCUUCGAGCUCAACUCGGAAACUGCAUCGGAAACUAUCCGGCUAGAGGAUUGGAGGGGAGACUGGAAUUCUCGGUGUAGCAGUGAAAUGCGUAGAUAUCGAGAGGAACACCAGUGGCGAAGGCGAGUCUCUGGACAAUUCCUGACGCUGAGGCACGAAAGCUAGGGGAGCAAACAGGAUUAGAUACCCUGGUAGUCCUAGCCCUAAACGGUGCACGUUUGCUGUAAGAGGAAUCGACCCCUUUUGUGGCGAAGCUAACGCGUUAAACGUGCCGCCUGGGAAGUACGGCCGCAAGGUUA